GUCAGCUGCCAGGCCGCCCCAGAGAAGAGGAGGAACAGGUGAGUCAUUUUGGGCCCCUGCCCAAUCUGGACCUCCAGUGAGGCAAUUUUCUGGCUGACCCUACGUGGCAGCUGCUGCUUCUGAUUAGUUUCAUUAGUCAUGGAGGAAGGGAGGAGGGUAUCAGCUCAGGGUAGGGGCAGGCAUCAGGCCGGAUCUCUGAGGGAGAGGGGACAGGAGCAGUUUAUUCCUGGGGAGACUGCCAGACAGAGGGCUGGGAGCACACAUUCCCACUUCACACAGGUACAGCACCGUCAGCCUCGCCCAGGCCCUGCUACAGGAGAUGACCAGGCAGGCCCAGAUCUGGGAGAAAAUCAAGUAGGAUGGGACGGGGAAGGAGCCCACAGGGGACCAGGGCGUGGGGGCCUGUGCCUCACCUUUGACAUCGCCAUGCAGAAUCCUUCGGGUGUGGAGGUACUCCAGCCCUUCCAGAGCCUGGCCCAGGUAGUAAAGGGCCCGGUCUUCUGGCAGACAGCCCUUCUGCUUUAUGAGCUGGCCCAGCGAGCCACCUAGGAGACCAAUGGCCAGUCUUUACACGUGGCUUUUCCAGGCCUCCAAGCAUGCCAGGGGCAAGGGCCUUCACAGGGCAGGCGAUGGAAAGCAGGCCUUUUCUGCUGAUGUCACAGGGUCAAGAGGUUAAAAAUGGAUUGACUGGGGAUCUAGGCAAGACUUGGGGAAAUCCUUGGCUCAGAAUUUUGAGGGAGAAAGAGCGGCACCUGGCUUUUUACCUUCUAGUAGUUCCAUGAAGAUGUUGACCCAAGGACCUUCCUUCACAGCUCCAUACAAAGGGACAAUUCUGGGUGAGGUCAGUCCUGCACAUGCCAUCAACUCCUCUGCCCGAAACACUUCUACUCGCACCUGGAAGGGCCCAGAGGUGGCUGCAAGUCAGGGUAGAUCACGUCCCCUAAGCGGUGUUUCCACAUGCAAAUGGUGGCGAUACUGGCAUCUGAUCCUGAGAGAGAGGACUUGGAGGGAUAACGACCAGCAACAGGCCUGGUGACCAGUGGGUGCUCAAAAAUGCCAGCUCCCCACUUCCUCCCUCCAGCUCAAACAGAAGCUGAAGCCUGGACAAGGAAGCUGCCCAAGGUCACUGGGUAUAAAGUAUCAGAGCUGGGAUUGUGGUUGGGGAAGCCUGACUCCAGAGCUGCUGGCUACCCUGCCUCACCAAAGGCCAUUCCAGGUGUAUUAGCCUUUAAAUCCUAACGUGUUUACAGACACCCAGGAGUGAGCACACCUGGAUGGAAGUGUGCUCAGCAAUCACCUAAUUGCCAAAGCCACAAGCCACGAGCCACUUCCCUCUGCUUAAUGAUUUUCCAGCUGAUAAUCCCGAAGGACACUACUGCCUGCCCGACCCUCUCCACAUGAAAGAAGCCAUCCCCACUAGACUGCGCUGGAGGAGGCGGAGGUCUAAGCGGCGGCUCCGGUGGGCUCAAGCAGCUGCUCUGGCUCUCAGGGGUCUGUGUGCUUGGAGGUUUUCUGACUGGCUUGGGAGCUGGAAGUAUUGUUAGUGUUGUGGAGUAUCCUAGGCGUACGUAUAAGUGGAAAAAUGCUACCAUGAGCUGUUGGUCUUGCAGGCUCCACCCUAAGAAUGCUCCUGGGUUACAGGGGGUCCUGAGCCUCACCUGUGCACAGCCGCCCUUGCACGAGGACUGCACCUGCCUGCAGACCCAGACGCCCGCCCACCCUGCCACCAGCCCCAAUCCGGGCCCCUUACAUUCAGCCUGGGCAAUGAUGGAGAUGGCUGCCAGCCCUCCCUCGGAGCCGUCCUUGGCCGUG